GGGGAGCUUUCCUCCUCCUCUUCUUCUUCCUAGCGACGUCUUCGGCUGAAUGCGCAUGCGCAGCAGGAGCCGCGCGCGCAUUCAGCCAGUCUCAUAGGAAAGCAUUCAUAAUGCUUUCCUAUGGACGCUGGCAUCUUCUCACUGUGAUUUUCACAGUGAGAAGCAAGCAAGCGCCUCUAGCGGCUGUCAAUGAGACAGCCACUAGAGGCUUUAGAGGCUGAAUUAACCCUCAGUGUAAACAAAGCAGUUUCUCUGAAACUGCUAUGUUUAUAAAAAAAAGGGUUAAUCCUAUCUGGACCUGGCACCCAGACCACUUCAUUAAGCUGAAGUGGUCUGGGUGCUUAUAG